GAUGAAGAACGUAGCGAAAUGCGAUAAGUAAUGUGAAUUGCAGAAUUCAGUGAAUCAUCGAAUCUUUGAACGCACAUUGCGCCCGCCAGUAUUCUGGCGGGCAUGCCUGUUCGAGCGUCAUUACAACCCUCAGGCCCCCGGGCCUGGCGUUGGGGAUCGGCGGAGCCCCCCGUGGGCACACGCCGUCCCCCAAAUACAGUGGCGGUCCCGCCGCAGCUUCCAUCGCGUAGUAGCUAACACCUCGCGACUGGAGAGCGGCGCGGCCACGCCGUAAAACAGCCAACUCUUCUGAAGUUGACCUCGAAUCAGGUAGGAAUACCCGCUGAACUUAAGCAUAUCAAUAAGCGGAGGA
rnacentral:misc_RNA from 1 species